CGGCGGCGGCGGCGGCGGCGGCGGGCGGGGAGGAGGCCGCGCCGCCCGGGCCCAGGCGCCGCUCUAGCCGCGCCGGCUCAGCCGAGCGCGCUGCGCCGCGGCCCCUCGCGGCCCGCCCCGGGCCCGGCCGCGCCGCCAUCUUCCGUGCCUCGCAGUGCUCGCGCCCCGCCCGCCGGGGUCCCCGCGGCUCCGGGGAGGCCCUCCCGGCCGCGCGCGGCGCCCUCCGGAGCGCGGCGGAGCCCCGGGUGGGAGCGGCUCCGGGGCCGCUGGAAUCCGGGGCAGGACGUCUUGUUUGCCCGGGCGGCGGCUCCCCGGCCAAGCCUGCACCGGCGCCUGCGGGGACCCCCGGGGACCGACUUGAACUCGAGUCACCUUCUGGGGCCGCUGUCACCCGCAGACCCAGAGCCCUUGGGCGUGCCGGGUGGGCAGGCCUUCCCCACGGGAUGAACUGCGCCUCAGCCGCCGUGCCGGCACGCCGCCCCCGCCGCCCGCAGCGGUAUUUUAAGCCGGUGGUGGUGACCCGAGAUCGUGAAAACCUUGAAUGCCUGCUAAGAAAUUUCAACUUUAUUCUAAAGGCAUUGGCAACUGAAUGAAGGUUUUGGUUUUAGAGCGAGAGAAUGACACUUUCAGAGCAUUCUGAGGAAUGACUCAGAAAACUAUCCAGAGGAUGGCUGUAGUCAUCCAGAUAAGAGGCAAUGAUGGCAUGAGCAAAGCCAAUGACAGUGCAGAUGGAACACAAGGAACAGGUGCAAGAUUUAUUGUGGAGAUAAGAGUGGAACAACUUAGCAACCAAUGGGAUAUGAGGAUUGAUGGAGGCAAAAAGAUUGCAAGUGACUGGGAAAGUGUCUGGAAGGAUGAUGGUUCAUAACACACCAGAAUGGAUGAGAAGAAGAAGAAGUCUUAAGAUUCUACAAUGAGGAUAGAAUUAACCUUGGAAAAGUGCCAAUGUGACUGAGAAGACAAGAAGAUGCUCAAUGAACAGUAGCUAUUGUUAUACUUUGUCAGCGUGGGGAAUGUCAGUAAAUUACCCAAAAUAUUGCUGACAUCGCCAUCCAUCCAUAAGUCCCCUUCAGAAGGGGAAUAUUUAGAGUUGGAUACAUAGAUGAAAACAUGAUGAAAAAUGAAAGGCAGCAUCGUGCAAGGAGUAAAAGCAUGGACUUUGGAGUCAUGCAACCCAGGUUCCAUUUCCAGCUCUACCACUUGCAAGCUGUGAGACCUUGCUAAAGUCACUUAUCCUAUCUCUACUUGCCUUUCCUGAUCUCUAAAAUGGUGAUGAUGGUGGGACUUAUCUUGCUGUGCCAGACACACUUAGAUCAGGAUCUGGCACACUGUAUGCGUUGAAUAAGCAUCGGGUGUUGUUGUUGUCAUUAUUGUUGUUAUUACCAUCGUCAUCACUAUCAAUUUACUUAUUUAUCCAGGACUACCUUCAGCAAGCCAAGGUUACACAACAUUAUUCAAUAGAUCUGACCCUACUGUAUUCCUUAAGUGUCUGAGGUAUUUCAUGGUAUGAUAAAGAGUGGUCCUUAAAACGUUCCCCAAGAGAGUACACCCAGUACUGAUCAGCCCUCCCGGGAGCCCCUAAGAAGUGCACUCGAGGCCAAAAAGGGAACCUGUAGUCCUGCCACAAUUGGCUCUGCAGGCCAGAUUGCUA
ensembl:lncRNA